AGAAAACCAUGGACGUGGAGCUGAAGUCUGACCUGUCCCAAGACUUAUAGCUAAGUCUCCCGAGACUGCCUCAGAAGCCCUGAGGUUUCAUUGGUCACAAGAAGGCAGUGAUCCUGUCCCCUUACAGGACCUACCGAAAGCCCAUCUCUUCUGUUCUGUGAAGCCAGUCACCCUCUGGUAAGUCAGAACCCUAAAGUUUCUCCGAUGAGCUCACAGAGUCAAUGAGAUGGACUUGGACAUGGCUGGAUUGGAUGCAGGCACUGCUGCGGACAUCUUGCCCUCAUGUAGAGCCUGAGGGUGACAUGAAGGUAGAGGCAGGCAGGUGGGACACAUGGAGCAAGAUCAAGUUCAGAGGCAUCAAGUGAGUCCCUGAAGCACACCAUGUGGGUUCCACCUCAAACCUUCCUGUUACA